AUGGGGGAUUCGAGAGAGUUGUGGGAACAUAUAAAAGAGGCUGCCAAUUCGGUGGUGUUAACAGAUGAAAAAGAUAAGAUGAAGUGGACUCUCACAAAAAAAGGGAUUUACACAGUGAAAUCCUUCUAUAGACAUUUGAUAGAAAAUGGGAUCAAAUACCCACCCUUAUAUAUGUGGAAGAUUAAAAUACCACCUAGAGUUAAGGUGUUCAUGUGGUUAGCUCUUAGAAAAAGCAUCCUCACUAAAGAUAACUUGUUACACAGGUGCUGGAAAGGAGAUGAUAAAUGUCCAUUCUGUGGAAGAAAAGAAAACAUCAAUCAUCUGUUUUUAACCUGUUCAGUAGCUAGGCUUCUGUGGAUUAUUUUGAAAUGUGCUUUCAAUCUCAAAGAUAUACCAGACGAUUUGGAUCUGGUGAUGAGGGGCUGGGCUAAAACUUUUGGAGAAGAGGAAAGGGGUUUAGUUUGGAUAGGUAUUUCUGCUAUUUGUUGGACUAUUUGGAAAUUGAGAAACUGUGUGAUUUUUGAUAAUAACAUGGUAAAUGAUCCCUGUGUGGCUGUCAACUUGUUACUUAAAAACUUACAUGAUUGGAAUCUCUUGCAGAAAAACCCCGUAAGAAAUAAAAUGAUGGAGGCUGGACUAAAGCAGAUCGGUGUGGUGGCUGAAGAAGUGUUUCGAGCAGCUCAUGGGUGGCGACUGGCGACUAGAAGGAUCAUGGGGUGA
rnacentral:rRNA from 1 species